rnacentral:piRNA from 1 species
UGACAAAUGUGUCCUAAGCGAGACUGCUGC